rnacentral:rRNA from 1 species
UACGUAGGUGGCAAGCGUUGUCCGGAUUUACUGGGCGUAAAGCGCACGUAGGCGGUUCGUUAUGUCGGAUGUGAAAGCCCUUGGCUUAACCGAGGAAGUGCAUCCGAAACUGGCGAGCUAGAGUACUAAAGAGGAUCGCGGAAUUCCCGGUGUAGAGGUGAAAUUCGUAGAUAUCGGGAGGAACACCGGUGGCGAAGGCGGCGAUCUGGGUAGAUACUGACGCUGAGGUGCGAAAGCGUGGGGAGCAAACAGG